rnacentral:rRNA from 1 species
UACGUAGGGUGCGAGCGUUGUCCGGAAUUAUUGGGCGUAAAGGGCUCGUAGGCGGUUUGUCGCGUCGGGAGUGAAAACCAUGAGCUUAACUCAUGGCUUGCUUUCGAUACGGGCAGACUAGAGGUAUGCAGGGGAGAACGGAAUUCCUGGUGUAGCGGUGAAAUGCGCAGUUAUCAGGAGGAACACCGGUGGCGAAGGCGGUUCUCUGGGCAUUACCUGACGCUGAGGAGCGAAAGUGUGGGGAGCGAACAGG